UGCGUAGGCGGUGUGGCAAGUUGGAUGUGAAAUCCCUCGGCUCAACCGAGGAACUGCGUCCAAAACUGCCACGCUAGAGGGAGACAGAGGUGAGCGGAACUUGCGGUGGAGCGGUGAAAUGCGUUGAUAUCGCAAGGAACACCCGUGGCGAAAGCGGCUCACUGGGUCUCUUCUGACGCUGAGGCACGAAAGCUAGGGGAGCGAACG
rnacentral:rRNA from 1 species